NNNNNNGACCACAGACUGAGGAGAAUUGGGCAUCCCGUCCGCUCUGCCAUACACAAGCCUCAGAUCGGCAGAUUAGUAGUUGGGUGGGUGACCACCAGCGAAUACCUGCUGUCGUAUGUU
rnacentral:rRNA from 1 species